GUGUUGCAUAUAUUACUUACACACUGCGGGCGGGAGCGUGUAUUAUUGUUAUUACAAUAAUUGAAUACCCGUUCGCCGUUUGUAACACACGUUAUCGCGUACGGUUACGAUACGGACCGGAAAAACGGCACGACGGCGAUUACAAUAAUAAUCGUAAUAAUAUUUGUGUAUUGUAUACUCGGCCGAUAGUUCGCGGUUAAAAUGGCGGCCGAAGGCGUAAAACGGUAGACGGGAACGUUUCGUGUUUUUUUUGUUUAGAUUCCGG